rnacentral:ncRNA from 1 species
GUUGAGUGGGAAUAGAAAGCUAACAUAAUAAGAAUAGGAAUAUCAAUAAAUCAACGUUUUUCAACUUAUGAAAUGCUUGAUUUUCAUUAAAAAUGAUAUGGUUUCCUACCACAA